GAUGAACGCUGGCGGCGUGCCUAAUACAUGCAAGUCGAGCGAACAGACGCGGAGCUUGCUUCUCUGACGUUAACGGCGGACGGGUGAGUUACACGUGGAUCCCCUCCCUAUAAGACAGGGCUCACUUCGGGAAACCGGAGCUAAUACCGGCUAAUAUCUUGAACCGCAUGGUUCAAUAGUGCACGACGGUUUUGCUGUCACUUAUAGAUGGAUCCGCGCCGCAUUAGCUAGUUGGUAAGGUAACGGCUUACCAAGGCAACGAUGCGUAGCCGCCCUGAGAGGGUGAUCAGCCACACUGGAACUGAGACACGGCCCAGACUCCUACGGGAGGCAGCAGUAGGGAAUUUUCCGCAAUGGGCGAAAGCUUGACGGAGCAACGCCGCGUGAGGGAUGAAGGUCUUCGGAUCGUAAAACGCUUUUAUUAGGGAAGAACAAGUGUGGAAGUAACUAUGCACGUCUUGACGGUACCGAAUCAGAAAGCCACGGCUAACUACGUG
rnacentral:rRNA from 1 species